UGUUUUUGUAACCUCUCCCUCCCUUCUCUCGCUCACUCUCUCUCUCUUUCUUUCAAUCUUACUCUAUAUAUCUCUUUCCUCAUACCGCUCCCUCCUCUCUCUCACUAUAUGUGGUUUUAGGCCUGGGGCUGAGUGUGCACCUGGUGUACCUGGACGAAAGUUCACCUAAGAAGCUGAGAGGAUUCCUGACCCUAACUAGCUCCAUCUUCAGUGGCUUCAGGAAGGUCAUGGUCAGAUUGCCUGGGGCUGAGUGUGCACCUGGUGUACCUGGACGAAAGUUCACCUAAGAAGCUGAGAGGAUUCCUGACCCUAACUAGCUCCAUCUUCAGUGGCUUCAGGAAGGUCAUGGUCAGAUUGUCAGUACCCUUGUUACUUAACCACCUAACUCGCGUCCUGUGGUCCGUUUACCCUUUCAGUGGUCAGUUGUUCUAGCCUGGUCAAGCAUACUGACCUCGGUGUUGUGCUCACAGUGCAGCGGUCACUCAGUCUGGUUUACGGGCUACAGUUCAUGUUCAUGACACCGUAAUACGUCCUCAGUACCCACAAUCACAGUGGAGUUACAUAGAUUGCAUCCAUAGAGUCAAAGAGGGCAACAUACAGGUUAGCUCGGCCACAGUGACAGUCUCAUUCUGUAAAAGAUGAAGCCAACUCUCUUGCCAUCUAUCUUACUUAGAGAAAGAGGAGAACUUUCAAGGUUCACACCAU
rnacentral:lncRNA from 13 species